AGACCUUAGUGUCCUGCUGAAUACAACAGGUGUAGUAGACCUUAGUGUACUGCUGAAUACAACAGGUGUAGUAGACCUUAGUGUACUCGAAUACAACAGUGUAUGACCUUAGUGUCCGCGAAUACAACGUAUGUAACCU
rnacentral:lncRNA from 1 species